rnacentral:rRNA from 1 species
UGGAGGGAAGGUGGGGAUGACGUCAAGUCAUCAUGGCCCUUAAGGCCUGGGCUACACACGUGCUACAAUGGUCGGUACAGAGGGUCGCCAAGCCGCGAGGUGGAGCUAAUCUCACAAAACCGAUCGUAGUCCGGAUCGCAGUCUGUGACUCGACUGCGUGAAGUCGGAAUCGCUAGUAAUCGCGAAUCAGAAUGUCGCGGUGAAUACGUUCCCGGGCCUUGUACACACCGCCCAUCACACCAUGGGAGUGGGUUGCACCAGAAGUAG